rnacentral:rRNA from 1 species
GCCGCGUGUGUGAAGAAGGCCUUCGGGUUGUAAAGCACUUUCAGUAGGGAGGAAAGGUAAUAGUUUAAUAAACUAUUACUGUGACGUUACCUACAGAAGAAGGACCGGCUAACUCCGUGCCAGCAGCCGCGGUAAUACGGAGGGUCCGAGCGUUAAUCGGAAUUACUGGGCGUAAAGCGUGCGCAGGCGGUUUGUUAAGCCAGAUGUGAAAUCCCCGGGCUCAACCUGGGAAUUGCAUUUGGAACUGGCGAACUAGAGUCUUGUAGAGGGGGGUAGAAUUCCAGGUGUAGCGGUGAAAUGCGUAGAUAUCUGGAGGAAUACCGGUGGCGAAGGCGGCCCCCUGGACAAAGACUGACGCUCAUGCACGAAAGCGUGGGGAGCAAACAGGAUUAGAUACCCUGGUAGUCCACGCCGUAAACGAUGUCUACUCGGAGUUUGGUGACUUA